UGGACUACUAGGGUUUCUAAUCCUGUUUGCUCCCCACGCUCUCGCGCCUCAGCGUCAGUAUUUGUCCAGGUAGCCGCCUUCGCCACUGGUGUUCCUUCCGAUCUCUACGCAUUUCACCGCUACACCGGAAAUUCCACUACCCUCUACAAUACUCCAGUCAUACAGUCAUCGAUGCCGUUCCUAGGUUAAGCCCAGGGAUUUCACAUCAAUCUUAUAUAACCGCCUACGCGCCCUUUACGCCCAGUAACCCCGAUUAACGCUCGCACCCUCUGUAUUACCGCGGCUGCUGGCA
rnacentral:misc_RNA from 1 species